GCAAGUCGAGCGAGAAAUUGAUUGAGUUUACUUAAUUGAUAGAAAGCGGCGGACGAGCGAGUAGCACGUAAGAACCUGCCCUAUACUCGGGGAUAACGGCUCGAAAGAGUCGCUAAUACCGGAUGGUCUCGAAAGAGUAAAGAUUUAUCGGUAUAGGAGGGGCUUGCGGCUUAUCAGUUAGUUGGUGGGGUAAAGGCCUACCAAGACUAUGACGAGUAGCUGGUGUGAGAGCAUGACC
rnacentral:rRNA from 1 species